rnacentral:tRNA from 2 species
GGGCCCUUAGCUCAGAGGGAGAGCGCUUCCUUGACACGGAAGAGGUCAGUGGUUCAAUUCCACUAGGGCCCA